GGGGUUGUAGCUCAGUGGUAGAGCACUUGCCUUGCACAUGUGAGAAACUGAGUUCAUUCCUCAGCACCACA
rnacentral:tRNA from 1 species